rnacentral:rRNA from 1 species
CCCAAACCGACACAGGUGAUCAGGUAGAGAAUACCAAGGCGCUUGAGAGAACUCGGGUAAAGGAACUAGGCAAAAUGGUGCCGUAACUUCGGGAGAAGGCACGCUGGUGGUAGGUGAGACCCCUUGCGGGUGGAGCUGACGCCAGUCGAAGAUACCAGGCCCCUGCGACUGUUUAUUAAAAACACAGCACUGUGCAAACACGAAAGUGGACGUAUACGGUGUGACGCCUGCCCGGUGCCGGAAGGUUAAUUGAUGGGGUUAGCGCUUGCGCGAAGCUCUUGAUCGAAGCCCCGGUAAACGGCGGCCGUAACAAUAACGGUCCUAAGGUAGCGAAAUUCCUUGUCGGGUAAGUUCCGACCUGCACGAAUGGCGUAACGAUGGGGGCGCUGUCUCUACCCGAGACUCAGUGAAAUUGAAAUCGCCGUGAAGAUGCGGUGUAUCCGCGGCUAGACGGAAAGACCCCGUGAACCUUUACUAUAGCUUCACAGUGAACUUUGAGCAUGUUUGUGUAGGAUAGCUGGGAGGCUUUGAAGUGGGAACGCCAGUUCUCAUGGAGCCAACCUUGAAAUACCAGCCUGACAUGUUUGAGGUUCUAACUUGGUCCCCUUAUCGGGGAUGAGGACACUGUGUGGUGGGUAGUUUGACUGGGGCGGUCUCCUCCCAAAGCGUAACGGAGGAGCACAAAGGUGGGCUAAGCAUGGUCGGACAUCAUGCGGUUAGUGUAAUGGCACAAGCCCGCUUAACUGCGAGACAGACACGUCGAGCAGGUACGAAAGUAGGUCAUAGUGAUCCGGUGGUUCUGUAUGGAAGGGCCAUCGCUCAACGGAUAAAAGGUACGCCGGGGAUAACAGGCUGAUACUGCCCAAGAGUCCAUAUCGACGGCAGUGUUUGGCACCUCGAUGUCGGCUCAUCUCAUCCUGGGGCUGGAGCAGGUCCCAAGGGUAUGGCUGUUCGCCAUUUAAAGUGGUACGCGAGCUGGGUUUAGAACGUCGUGAGACAGUUCGGUCCCUAUCUGUUGUGGGCGUUAGAAAUUUGAGAGGACCUGCCUCUAGUACGAGAGGACCGGGGUGGACGAACCUCUAGUGUACCUGUUGUGGCGCCAGCUGCAUCGCAGGGUAGCUACGUUCGGAUGAGAUAAGCGCUGAAAGCAUCUAAGCACGAAACUCACCUCAAGAUGAGAUUUCUUUUAAGGGCCGUGGGAGACUACCACGUUGAUAG